GAUGAACGCUAGCGGCAGGCCUAACACAUGCAAGUCGAGGGAGAAGCCUUUCGGGGCAGAAACCGGCGCACGGGUGCGUAACGCGUAUGCAACCUACCUUUCACAGGGGGAUAGCCCGAAGAAAUUUGGAUUAAUACCCCAUAAUAUUGUUGGAUGGCAUCAUCUGAUAAUUAAAACUGCGGUGGUGAAAGAUGGGCAUGCGUCCUAUUAGCUAGUUGGAGUGGUAACGGCACCCCAAGGCUACGAUAGGUAGGGGUCCUGAGAGGGAGAUCCCCCACACUGGUACUGAGACAGGGACCAGACUCCUACGGGAGGCAGCAGUGAGGAAUAUUGGUCAAUGGUCGGAAGACUGAACCAGCCAUGCCGCGUGCAGGAAGAAUGCCUUAUGGGUUGUAAACUGCUUUUAUAUGGGAAGAAUAAGGUGUACGUGUACAUUGAUGACGGUACCAUAUGAAUAAGCAUCGGCUAACUCCGU
rnacentral:rRNA from 1 species